rnacentral:rRNA from 1 species
AUUGAACGCUGGCGGCAGGCCUAACACAUGCAAGUCGAGCGCGCGGCGGACGGGUGAGUAAUACCUGGGAAUUGCCCAGUCGAGGGGGAAAAAAGGGGGAAACGACUGCUAAUACCGCAUACGCGUGGAACGCAUAGGUGGGAUUAGCUAAUGGGGGGGGUAAUGGCUCACAAAGGCCACGAUCCCUAGCUGGUCUGAGAGGAUGAUCAGCCACACUGGUACUGAGACACGGUCCAGACUCCUACGGGAGGCAGCAGUGGGGAAUAUUGCACAAUGGGGGAAACCCUGAUGCAGCCAUGCCGCGUGUAUGAAGAAGGCCUUCGGGUUGUAAAGCACUUUCAGCGAGGAGGCGUUACUCGCAGAAGAAGCACCGGCUAACUCCGUGCCAGCCGCCGCGGUAAUAC